rfam:Schistosoma mansoni strain Puerto Rico chromosome 2, complete genome
AUCCAGCUGACGAGUCCCAAAUAGGACUAAACGCGCGUCCUGGAU